UCAAAUCCAAACAGAAGAGUAAGCCUGGCCAAGGAGACGUAGCAGCGCCCCCUACUGAUAUAGUGCCAAAGGGUGAAAUUGAGAAGGCAGAGAAUGAUCAGGAGAAAUGGUGGAGACCAUGGGUUUCACGGCCUGGUGUUGAAAACAACUGUGGCUACCAUCUAUUUGAGAGUGACAGUGAAGAGGAAGAGGAGGAAGUCCAGGAAAAGAAAGAGGAAG
rnacentral:lncRNA from 1 species